UGGAUCCUAGGCUCAGUUCAUUCCGGCUCUUCCCUGGAGGCGCACCGUAUAACGCGGGAUUUGCGAGAUGCCUCCACCCACCUGCCAGGGACUCGCCCAAAGGAUGCUGCAUGAGGAGAGGGUUCCCAGGAAGUGGAGUUCGGGAAACCGGGAAACCAUACCCGCAGUGCACAGAGAAACAGAGUGGACACAAACUCAUCCUUAGACACCCCUUGGAGACAUCCCAGGAUCUGAGGGAGUCACCAGGUCAACAUAUAGUCCAGAGUCCUGAGAGAGAGGAUUUCAGAGGAAAACAUCCUUCCAGUGCAGAAGAAUGGAGUCAGGCCAAAGGAGAUGUGUCGGCUAUUUCGAAUUAAAUGGGAGUAGGUAAAUUGGAAACGCUGCCCAAAACCAGGCACCCUGAGGCUUUGCCAGCUUCUACACGGGAGGCUAUGGAGCAGCCUUCCAGGAGAUCUUGGGCAACAAAAUAAAAACCCAUGUGGUCUGCUGCCUGCUGUGUUUUCUCUGUAUGGUCAGAGUUAGCAUCUUGCCUCAUGCCUGAUUCCGUGUGUGUGUGUGUGUGUGUGUGUGUUUGAGAGAGAGAGUGUUCAAGGUCUUCUCCAGGCCCCCAGGCUCCUACUUAUACCACCACCCGCACAAUGCCUCUACAUGUACAAUUGUCAUAGAGGGAGAUGGCAGUAACUGGGAUCUGGGAUCUGGGGUGUCAGACACGAGGGACAGGAAAGGUUACACCUAUAAGACAUAAUC